rnacentral:lncRNA from 1 species
GCUCAUCAAACACAUCUCUCCAUUUUCUUGAAGAUGGCAUCCACUGUGCUGAGAAGCUGCGGCGUCGCCGCUGUUGCCCCAUCGCUGCUAUCUUCUUCCAAGUCUAAAUUCGCCACCUCGCUGCCACUCCCCAAUGCUGCCGCCGGCUCUGCCCGGGUCACCAUGUCUGCCGACUGGAUGCCCGGCCAGCCCCGCCCACCCUACCUUGAUGGCUCCGCCCCUGGGUAAGAAUAAUGGAUCAAGUGUUUGAUAUUUAUCUUUGAAGCAGUAGAUCAUGUUUGAUGAAAAUUUUGGUGGAUGUGUGUGGUGUUUAUGUGUUUCAGUGACUUUGGAUUUGACCCACUUCGGCUUGGUGAAGUCCCAGAGAAUCUGGAGAGAUAUAAGGAAUCCGAACUUAUCCACUGCAGAUGGGCUAUGCUCGCUGUUGUAAGUUUCAUGCGAAAACCCAAACUUGGGUGGUUGCUACACUUUUGACGCGAUAACUUCAAUUACUUCCUGCUUGGUUGUUGAGAAAAUGGACGCAAGAAAAGAAAAUUGAGUUUCAGCUCUACUUAUUUUUGUUUUUCAUAAAGCUUAAACCUCAACUGAAAUGAGAUGGUUUCUGUAAUUUUGCAGCCGGGAGUCCUAGUGCCAGAAGCCUUGGGCUUAGGCAACUGGGUACAGGCUCAAGAGUGGGCAGCAAUUCCAGGAGGCCAAGCCACCUACUUGGGCAACCCAGUCCCAUGGGGCAACCUCCCGACAAUUUUGGCGAUCGAAUUCCUGGCCAUUGCCUUUGUUGAGCACCAACGCAGCAUGGAGAAGGACACCGAGAAGAAGAAGUACCCUGGUGGCGCUUUCGACCCAUUAGGCUACUCCAAGGACCCUGUCAAGUUCGAGGAAUA